UAGUCAUAUGCUUGUCUUAAAGACUAAGCCAUGCAUGUCUAAGUAUAAGCACUUGUACAGCAAAACUGCGAAUGGCUCAUUAAAUCAGUUAUAAUUUAUUUGAUGGUAAAUACCACUUGGAUAACCGUGGUAAAACUAGAGCUAAUACAUGCGUAAAAACCUGACUGGGAACGGAAAGGUUGUAUUUAUUAGAUACAAAACCAAUACUUUAAUAGAGGCAACUUUAUUAAAGUUAAAAUUGGUGAUUCAUAGUAAUUAAACUAAUCGUAUAGUCUUUUGUACUGACGAUAGUUCAUCCAAAUAUCUGCCCUAUCAACUUUCGAUGGUAGUAUAGAGGACUACCAUGGUGGUAACGGGUAACGGAGAAUCAGGGUUUGAUUCCGGAGAAGGAGCCUGAGAAACGGCUACUACUUCCAAGGAAGGCAGCAGGCGCGCAAAUUACCCAAUCCC
rnacentral:rRNA from 1 species